rnacentral:rRNA from 1 species
UACGGAGGGAGCUAGCGUUGUUCGGAAUUACUGGGCGUAAAGCGCACGUAGGCGGCUUUGUAAGUUAGAGGUGAAAGCCCGGGGCUCAACCCCGGAAUUGCCUUUAAGACUGCAUCGCUGAAUCCAGGAGAGGUGAGUGGAAUUCCGAGUGUAGAGGUGAAAUUCGUAGAUAUUCGGAAGAACACCAGUGGCGAAGGCGGCUCACUGGAGCUGGUAUUGACGCUGAGGUGCGAAAGC